UACCAAGGGAACUAGAACGUAUUUCUUCCCCAGUCUGGAGAUGCAGAACACUGAGCAUAAUAAGUGCUUCUCAAGCUUUAAUAUUUACUUGAAUUACCUGGAGAUCUUGUUAAAUAUGCAGUUGGAGAAUCGCCAUACCAUUAUCCUUUAUAACUUUGUUAAUUUGCAUUUUCACCCACAGCACACAAGUGUUCUCUUUUCUCUACAUCCUUGCUGCCUGGUG
rnacentral:lncRNA from 1 species